GGGGAAAGAACCCUCUCAUUCUGAAGUUGAAAUUUAUCCACUGGUUCAAUGGUUUCUGACAACCACACAGAAUAUCAGUUGCAUCCCUGUCUUAACACAUGGCAACCCCUGUGAAAGAGCCCUUUGACCUCCUAAAGGAGUUACAAUCCAGAGGUUGAGAACUGCUGACCUAGAACCUUAGAAGGACCACUGGCUGAACAAUCCACCUAACAAGAUGAAGAUGCUAAUUCUGGUCUACCUCAUCCAUGUCUAUCCUCCCAGUGACUCAGAAUCCUUUGCUGUCUACUCUCUGCCAUCAGUCUAAUCUAGACGCAAUGAUAAACCAAAGAGGAGCAGGAAGCCAAGAUCAUUUGCUGCUGCUUGCUUUUGAGCUCAUGAAUUUAUUAUAAAGAAUGUAAUCAAGGGACCAUGGAUGCUGAGCCCUGGUGGAGUUCAUAGGUAUGAGGUCUUGGGUUCAAUCUCCAGUCACAGCAUACCACCAACACCAUCACUGAAAAUGUAGUCCUGUUAGGGGAGGGGUCCUGUUACAAUGAAUUGGGUUAGUUACUAUGGGACAGAAUAAUCGACUUCCAUUUAUCAGACAGAAUUGACAAUCAUCUCUUCAUGAACUACUUUUAUUAUCAAUCUGUGGAUGCAUGAUGAUGCCUGUGUUUAAACAAACAAGUUUGAUUUGCCUGA